GUGGGGAAUUUUGGACAAUGGGCGCAAGCCUGAUCCAGCAAUGCCGCGUGCAGGAAGAAGGCCUUCGGGUUGUAAACUGCUUUUGUACGGAACGAAACGGUCCUGGUUAAUACCCGGGGCUAAUGACGGUACCGUAAGAAUAAGCACCGGCUAACUACGUGCCAGCAGCCGCGGUAAUACGUAGGGUGCAAGCGUUAAUCGGAAUUACUGGGCGUAAAGCGUGCGCAGGCGGUGCUGUAAGACAGGCGUGAAAUCCCCGGGCUCAACCUGGGAAUUGCGCUUGUGACUGCAAGGCUGGAGUGCGGCAGAGGGGGAUGGAAUUCCGCGUGUAGCAGUGAAAUGCGUAGAUAUGCGGAGGAACACCGAUGGCGAAGGCAAUCCCCUGGGCCUGCACUGACGCUCAUGCACGAAAGCGUGGGAGCAAACAGGAUUAGAAACCCUUGUAGUCC
rnacentral:rRNA from 1 species